UUUCUGAAUGCAAGGCCGCGGUCACUGCUCACGCACUCUCCUGUUAGGAACCAUCCUUGCCCUUAGCGGAGGGUGAUGAAGACGUGACAGGCUUUCCUCUGGGAAGCCCGUGGGAUCAGAACGAGCCAUUUUUGGAUACAAAUGUCAGUGGCUUUGCCUGCGGCAGUUCACGGAAGACAUAAUUGCUGUGAGCUGCCUCCCUCCACCCCUCUUCCUGCACUCAGCCACCCACCUCCCUUGAAGCUGAUCACAGACUCCAGGGAGCAGAGGGAAGGGCAGGUGGUAGAGGCUGCUCCUUCUGGUUCUUUCCCACUCCCUCAGCGGGAGGCUCUGACGUUUCCAGAAUUCAGACCCCAGAGGUGUUGUUGAGCCUCUGACUCAUGACCUCAGGGCGGAGAGUUCAAGCCCUGCACUGGGUUUGAAGAUUACGGGAAAACAACAACAACAAACCGUCUGUAACUUCACAAAUCUAUCACUUUGGAAGCUGGUGGCAACAAGCUGGCAGGAAAUAUGGGACUUAGGAAAAGCAAACACACUCUAUUUGCUAAUGAUCACUAAACAUUUGUAACCAAGGUAAGCUUACUACAGAAAGGAGGAGUUGGCUCAAGUGUAAGGGCAGAGCGUUGAAAAAUCCUAACCUUCUUUCUUGCAUGCUAAAAUCAGUUAACAGAGAUCAACUAUUAGCUGCUACAGAAGGAAGAGAUUUGUUUACACUAUGUGAUUUUUGUCAGGGUGACUGCUUGACUGCCUGCCUGCCCGAGAUUUUAUUACUUAUUAACUCGUGAUUCCCAGUGAGUAGGAGAAGGCGCUUGGAUUUCUAAAGUUUGCAUGAAGCUGGUGUCCUCAUUUUUCUGCCAGGGCUCUGGUAUUCGCUCUUUGAAUAAUGGCAGUUCUCAGCAAAGCCAAGGUUUUCCACGCAUGCCCUUCACUGUUCACACCCAAUUAACGAACGGUUAAUUUCUGGUUUCAGAUUUUGGACAUAAUCAAAACGUUGGAUACUGAGCAGCUUUGUAAACAGAAUAUGACCGUACGUGUACUUGUUUCUGACUUCCAAGGGAGGACGUCUAACAGCUCUCAGCUUCCAAAUGCCUGGACCAAUGGCACAAAGCUGACACUGAUUAUGGAACCCAUGAGAAUGCACAAAAUUCAGGAACGCUGGGGCUCUGUUAUUGGUUUUUUUUUUUUUUAAACAAAAUAUUCAUACAUUAGUGUUUGUGGAACAUAUAUACUCAGUUUAAAGGAGAAUUACCAAAGAAAUACCCAGUUUCUUCCCAUGUUUAAAGAGAACAUUGAACCAGUUCCACCAAAGCUCUGUGAGCCCCAUGUGCACCCCCAGUCCGCGGGGGAACUGUGGUCCUGCACUUCCACG
rnacentral:lncRNA from 1 species